rnacentral:rRNA from 1 species
GACGAACGCUGGCGGCGUGCCUAAUACAUGCAAGUCGAGCGCAGGAAACUGACGGAACUCUUCGGAGGGAAGGCAGUGGAAUGAGCGGCGGACGGGUGAGUAACACGCAAGGAGCCUGCCUCAAGGAUUGGGAUAACUCCGAGAAAUCGGAGCUAAUACCGGAUAGUUCAUCGGACCGCAUGGUCCGCUGAUGAAAGGCGCUCCGGCGUCACCUUGAGAUGGCCUUGCGGUGCAUUAGCUAGUUGGUGGGGUAACGGCCCACCAAGGCGACGAUGCAUAGCCGACCUGGGAGGGUGAUCGGCCACACUGGGACUGAGACACGGCCCAGACUCCUACGGGAGGCAGCAGUAGGGAAUCUUCCACAAUGGACGAAAGUCUGAUGGAGCAACGCCGCGUGAGUGAUGAAGGUUUUCGGAUCGUAAAACUCUGUUGUAAGGGAAGAACACGUACGAGAGGGAAUGCUCGUACCUUGACGGUACCUUACGAGAAAGCCACGGCUAACUACGUGCCAGCCGCCGCAGUAA